rnacentral:misc_RNA from 1 species
CUGGUAUUUGAUACAUCUUCAAUCUCAGCAAAUUCAUGGUGUGGAAACUCUAUCUUAGGUGGGUUUCGGGCUUUGAGUAUGCUUCUAUCUAGAAAUGGAGGGACCUUCAGAGGCAAGCCCCUGGCAGUUUCACCCCAUGAAUUCACAAAUUCCAUUGCACCAAUUCCAUCGAACAUACAGUGGUUCAUGCAUAGUCCAAGGACAAAUCCUCCACAUUUGAAUCUCGUCACCUGAGCCACCAGAGGAGGCAUCUGAAAUAUGUUCUGUGCACCCGGAA